UUUAACUUGGGUAGGCUUCAAGCAAACACCGAGGCAAAGAUAUUUGCAUAACAAGCUGUACCAUAUUCUGGUUGUGUUUGGUUUUUAUAGUUGUGUUAUGUAGAUCUCUAAUAUUCUGGUUUCUUGUUUAUAAUUUAGGUUUGUGUAUAACCAAAACUACUUUAACUUCAUUGAAAAGCAAAUAGAUACAAGGAUCUUUUUGCUUUUCAA
rnacentral:misc_RNA from 1 species